CGGACCUCCAACGCAUCAUCCCCGCUCCGAGGCCCCGGGGCCCAGCCGCAGGGGCCCCCAACCGCUACGACGCCGCCACCGCCGGGGUCCAGGAGCCAAUCACGCGCUGGCUCCGCCGGCGGGGAUCACCUGAGGGUGGUCAAGCACAAGCCCAGCUUCAUCGUGUUCCGGGACUUUGACGCCGAUGGCGCCCGGCGCCCGGGCCGCGUCGUCCGACGGGCGGAGUCGGACGCCGGAGGCUCGUCGGCGUCGGCGUCGGCGUCGUCGUCGGCCACCACCGAAGAAGAGGAUUGUCGUGACGACCAGGAAAAGGCGGAGGAGGCGGAUUUGAUCCCUGAGCUGUCGCAGUACGAGGGAUUCCCGGUCAGCCGUUGCCGUAGGAACCUGGCCACGAGCAGGAAGUGCUUGAGAAGGAGACGGGACGUCCCGGUGAUCAGCUCGGUCGAUCCGGUGGCGGCGGUGUCCGCGGACAGUGAGGAGGAGGAGGAAGAGGAGGGAGCUAAGAACAACAAUGACCUGGUCGGCCCCGGCGACGCCCCCGCGGUUCAUCUGAGGAGGAAGCUGGCCCAGCUAAACCAGGAAGUGCAGGAAGUCUGCAUCACUAGCUCCGCCCACGAAGACGUCCUCAUCGCCGACCCCGGGACCCCGGCCCCCUCGGAGGAUCACCCAGUGUGCAGGAUGAGGAGCAGAGCCCAGACUCUGGACCAGGGAUCCUCUGCGUUCAACGACCGAGUCGAGCCACUGGGAAGACGCCGCUCGCGACCUUUGACCCGCAGCCGUCCCCUGACCCGC
ensembl:lncRNA